AGAGUUUGAUCAUGGCUCAGGAUGAACGCUGGCGGCGUGCCUAACACAUGCAGUCGAGCGAGAUGCUUCUGAUAGAUUCUUCGGAUGAUAGAUGAAGCGGAAAGCGGCGGAGGGUGAGUAACGCGUAGGCAACCUGCCCUUUGCAGAGGGAUAGCCUCGGGAAACCGGGAUAAAACCUCAUAAUGCGACUGGAAGACAUCUUCCGGUCGCCAAAGAUUUAUCGGCAAAGGAGGGCCUGCGUCUGAUUAGUUAGUUGGUGGGGUAACGGCCUACCAAGGCGACGAUCAGUAGCGACCUGAGAGGGUGAUCGGCCACAUUGGAACUGAGACACGGUCCAAACUCCUACGGGAGCAGCAGUGGGGAAUAUUGCACAAUGGGGGAAACCCUGAUGCAGCAACGCCGCGUGAACGAGAAGGCCUUCGGGUCGUAAAGUUCUGUCCUUGGGGAAGAAUACAUGACGGUACCCUUGGAGAAGCCCCGGCUAACUACGUGCCAGCAGCCGCGGUAAUACGUAGGGGGCGAGCGUUAUCCGAAUUAUUGGGCGUAAAGAGUACGUAGGCGGUUCUUUAAGCGCAGGGUUUAAGGCAGUGGUCAACCACUGUUCGCCCUGUGAACUGGAGGACUUGAGUAUCGGAGAGGAAAGCGGAAUUCUAGUGUAGCGGUGAAAUGCGUAGAUAUUAGGAGGAACACCAGUGGCGAAGGCGGCUUUCUGACGAAUACUGACGCUGAGGUACGAAAGCGUGGGGAGCAAACAGGAUUAGAUACCCUGGUGUCCACGCCGUAAACGAUGAGCACUAGGUGUCGGGGUCGCAAGACUUCGGUGCCGCAGUUACGCAUUAAGUGCUCCGCCUGGGGAGUACGCACGCAAGUGUGAAACUC
rnacentral:rRNA from 1 species